UUAUACAAAAGUUGACCUUUGCAUCUCCAGAAAGGUUAGAGGGCUGGGGGCCACGUUCAACAGCAAGAAAUGCUAAGUGAGUAGUCACAGAAUUGAGAGCAUAUCUGAGUUGCCUUCUUCUCUACCUUCUCCUCCCACAUUUGGAAAUCUACACUCCACUUUCUACCUGGGCUGUGAGCCUCCAGACAGCAGAGCUAAGAAAAAAGCAGGUCUUCCUCCUUCAGGAACAAGCCCAGGCUGCACUGCAGUCCUAAAAUUGCACAGCUCAUGCCAAGAAGAGGGAAACAAGAAAGAAGGGAAGAGAUGAAUUACUUCCAGGAAAGGUCCCGCCAGCUCCUCUCUGGCAAGAUCCACAAGCAGGCUGCUGGGUUACAGGUGAAGAGAGUGGAAAUUGAUUUGGCCGCCUAAGAAAUGAAAACCUGCCAUCAGGCUGGGAAGAUGUUACUUAUUUCUACUAACCAUGCACUGCUAAGAGGAAAAAGGUAUUUCCCCUCCAAGGUCAGCCCCAUACUGCACUGGGCUCUGAAACUAACUAACCAUCCUGAGAAGAGAUACAGGAGAAGGAGAAAAACGUUAAUGGCCUGUGCAUCAGGAAAGUGCGUCCCCUGCCACCCACCUCAGAUUGUUUUGGUCAAUCUCUCCCAUCUGGGAAACCAAGAGCCUAGGUGAAAUGUGAAGAGAGGAGUAAAGUAAUAUUUUAACAGGCUUAGUGGGAUGACCCUCUCUGGGAGACUCUCAGGAGACUAUAGACUCUGAAAGCACCAGUCACUAUAAAAGAUGAAAUGUUCCGUGACUCUAACAGUAGAGCCUUUCACAGACAUUAUCUCAAGAAACCUUCGCGACAACCCUGUGAGGUGUGGAAAUCAGCUAUUACCUUAGAGGACGAGCCUGAACCUUGGGGGAGUUAAACAGUCUGUCCAAAAUAAGGAUGAAAGUUCUGCCUUGAAAGCUAAAGGUGGUUCCAAUAUCCCACAGUUUGCCUCCUAGUGGACAAAACUCACAGCUCAGCUCAGUGUUUCUUGGAUUGGCAGACCAAGCUUCCUGUAGACCUCCCCUCUGA